UUCAGAUCUGCAGUUUCAUUAUUAUAGAAGUUAGUGUUCUAAAAAGUCGAGUUAUGAUUUGAGCCUACUGUAAAGAACUCCACUACUUACUUUCCAUGAUGCCUUUGAAUGUUUCCUGCAAAAGAAAAUGGAAUGGAGCACAUUAAUUACUAUUGCAAUGGAAUGAAUACUGGAAUUCUAAGAGAAAAGGAACCUUAUGUGGGAAUACAUGAUCACAACCGGAAUGCAAAAUUGACUUGCCUAGUUUAGGACAUUAUGUUCCAAGUCAAUUUUAGAAUAUCGAUCAACACAUUUAUUCUCAUCUGUCUUUUUUGCAUGAAAAUGGACCUCUACCUGUAUGGAGCAUCGACAUGAGAGGUCUGGGCUCAUGUAACAAGUAAAAGGAAAGCCAGGCGAGUCAUGGUUGGUGGUAGGAUCCAAUCCAUGACCAAGCUUCGGGUCAUUGGGAUGAUUAGAGAGAUUUGGCAUGGAGGGUUCACAGCAGGGUCUAUCAAGGAUGGUCCAUUCAUACCUGACCUUCUUUAUAGCAAGUAGGAGAGCAUAACCACGUGUCUCUCUAGAAACAAGGCACCAUUAUGAUCCUGGGUUACUAAGCAAUUGGUGUCGCCAAUAGGAUGAAGAGCAUAUUUCAGAAAAGUGGCUGGAUCAGUUUCAAGACACAAUACCUGAAAAUCUGUUCUCCCACAUCCACGUAUCAAUAGAGCAUCACCAGUGAAUGCCAUCCGAGGUUGAGGCUGAUCAGGUCCAUCUCCUGUGACAUAGGUAACACAACCCGAUGUAUGGCCAGGUGUGGCACGAACCUGAAA